rnacentral:rRNA from 1 species
AGUGAACGCUGGCGGUAGGCCUAACACAUGCAAGUCGAACGGCAGCACAGUAAGAGCUUGCUCUUACGGGUGGCGAGUGGCGGACGGGUGAGGAAUACAUCGGGAUCUACUUUUUCGUGGGGGAUAACGUAGGGAAACUUACGCUAAUACCGCAUACGACCUACGGGUGAAAGCAGGGGAUCUUCGGACCUUGCGCGAUUGAAUGAGCCGAUGUCGGAUUAGCUAGUUGGCGGGGUAAAGGCCCACCAAGGCGACGAUCCGUAGCUGGUCUGAGAGGAUGAUCAGCCACACUGGGACUGAGACACGGUCCAGACUCCUACGGGAGGCAGCAGUGGGGAAUAUUGGACAAUGGGCGCAAGCCUGAUCCAGCCAUACCGCGUGGGUGAAGAAGGCCUUCGGGUUGUAAAGCCCUUUUGUUGGGAAAGAAAAGCAGCAGGUUAAUACCCCGCUGUUCUGACGGUACCCAAAGAAUAAGCACCGGCUAACUUCGUG